ACUUCAAGGACUCAGGUUGAAGCUCCAUACUUCCAGGACUCAGGUUGAAGCUCCAUACUUCCAGGACUCAGGUUGAAGCUCCAUACUUCCAGGACUCAGGUUGAAGCUCCAUACUUCAAGGACUCAGGUUGAAGCUCUAUACUUCCAGGACUCAGGUUGAAGCUCCAUACUUCCAGGACUCAGGUUGAAGCUCCAUACUUCCAGGACUCAGGUUGAAGCUCCAUACUUCCAGGACUCAGGUUGAAGCUCCAUACUUCAAGGACUCAGGUUGAGGCUCUAUACUUCCAGGAAUCAGGUUGAAGCUCCAUACUUCCAGGACUCAGGUUGAAGCUCCAUACUUCCAGGACUCAGGUUGAAGCUCCAUACUUCCAGGACUCAGGUUGAAGCUCCAUACUUCCACUAGUACACCUUCACAUUACAAUCAAACUUUAAAAGGAUUGGAAAAAAUAACUUUACUAAAUGCAAAUUUAUUCAGAUUAAUACAUGAAAUAUGAAAGACAUGAAGUGCUGGAGGUGAAGUGAGAAGUGAAGUGAGAGGUGCGUUAUAGCUGCUAUGUUAGUGUUACACAGAUCAAGUGAAGCGAUAAGCGAAGUGGUAAUAGUUACACAGAUGAAGGCAACAUUCCUGACUGACACAGGAUGUGUUACAGCGGCUGUGGCAGAGUGACACAGAUGAAUGCAACAUUCCUGACUGACACAGGAUGUGUUACAGCGGCUGUGGCAGAGUUACACAGAUGAAGGCAACAUUCCUGACUGACACAGGAUGUGUUACAGCGGCUGUGGCAGAGUUACACAGAUGAAGGCAACAUUCCUGACUGACACAGGAUGUGUUACAGCGGCUGUGGCAGAGAGACACAGAUGAAGGUAACAUUCCUGACUGACACAGGAUGUGUUACAGCGGCUGUGGCAGAGUUACACAGAUGAAGGCAACAUUCCAGACUGACACAUGAUGCCACUACUGUUUCUCAUCUCUAAAAUUUGAUGUAAUCAUUAAAGGAUUAUUUAGUAAUAUUCGUUGCUUGAUAUUUAUGUGAAGUUCUUCACCAAAUUUCCUUUCAGAGUUUCUGUUUUUUUCUCAUUACUCAAUUUAAUUUUCAUUUAUUUUCAUUAUUACUUCAUUUAUCUUGAACGAAAUGGAGUGACGAACAUGAACAUGAACAGGUAGUGGGCAUCAUGGUCGUUAACAGGUAGAGGGCAUCAUGGUCGUCAACAGGUAGUGGGCAUCACGGUCGUCAACAGGUAGAGGGCAUCACGGUCGUCAACAGGUAGUGGGCAUCACGGUCGUCAACAGGUAGUGGGCAUCACGGUCGUCAACAGGUAGUGGGCAUCACGGUCGUCAACAAGUAGAGGGCAUCACGGUCGUCAACAGGUAGUGGGCAUCACGGUCGUCAACAGGUAGUGGGCAUCACGGUCGUCAACAGGUAGUGGGCAUCACGGUCGUCAACAGGUAGUGGGCAUCACGGUCGUCAACAGGUAGUGGGCAUCAUGGUCGUCAACAGGUAGAGGGCAUCACGGUCGUCAACAGGAAAUGGGCAUCACGGUCGUCAACAGGUAGAGGGCAUCACGGUCGUCAACAGGUAGUGGGCAUCACGGUCGUCAACAGGUAGUGGGCAUCACGGUCGUCAACAGGUAGAGGGCAUCACGGUCGUCACAGGUAGAGGGCAUCACGGUCGUCAACAGGUAGUGGGCAUCACGGUCGUCAACAGGUAGUGGGCAUCACGGUCGUCAACAGGUAGUGGGCAUCACGGUCGUCACAGGUAGUGGGCAUCACGGUCGUCAACAGGUAGUGGGCAUCACGGUCGUCAACAGGUAGAGGGCAUCACGGUCGUCAACAGGUAGUGGGCAUCACGGUCGUCAACAGGUAGUGGGCAUCACGGUCGUCAACAGGUAGAGGGCAUCACGGUCGUCAACAGGUAGUGGGCAUCACAGUCGUCAACAGGUAGUGGGCAUCACGGUCGUCAACAGGUAGUGGGCAUCACGGUCAA